AAAUCAUUUUGGGUACAAUUCCUUAUUAAUCCCUUGUAUCUCUCCCAUGCCUCAUAUAGUGACUCACCCGGUUGUUGCUCAAAGUUUGCUAUGGAAUUCUUGAGUUU